AAUGAAAUGCCUGAUGAAAAGGGUUAUCUUGAUAGGAUAAAUCAUGCAAUCAAAUGCUUUCAUUA
rnacentral:tRNA from 1 species